AAAAACCCAUCAGACCAUGAGUCCAUGAACGAAUUGCGGAAUUAGAUCAAAAGAACCAAAAAAUGAAAAAUCCAAAUAGGGGUAAAACUAUUUGCGAAAUUGGAUCAAAAGAACACAUGCAAGAAUCAAAAGGAAAUGCAGAUUCUAAGAUUCAUGGGGAAAAAAUUCACAAAUAUCAAAGCAGAACAAUAGGGGUUAAUUUUGCACAAAAUAGCGAACUAGCGAUUAUCGAAGUGAACGAAGCAGCAAGAUAGCCGCCUAGUGCUGUAG
rnacentral:lncRNA from 1 species